CCUACGGGAGACAGCAGUGAGGAAUAUUGGUCAAUGGACGAGAGUCUGAACCAGCCAAGUAGCGUGAAGGAUGACUGCCCUAUGGGUUGUAAACUUCUUUUAUAUGGGAAUAAAAUGUUCCACGUGUGGGAUUUUGUAUGUACCAUAUGAAUAAGGAUCGGCUAACUCCGUGCCAGCAGCCGCGGUAAUACGGAGGAUCCGAGCGUUAUCCGGAUUUAUUGGGUUUAAAGGGAGCGUAGGUGGAUUGUUAAGUCAGUUGCGAAAGUUUGCGGCUCAACCGUAAAAUGGCAGUUGAAACUGGCAGUCUUGAGUACAGUAGAGGUGGGCGGAAUUCGUGGUGUAGCGGUGAAAUGCUUAGAUAUCACGAAGAACUCCGAUUGCGAAGGCAGCUCACUGGACUGCAACUGACACUGAGGCUCGAAAGUGUGGGUAUCAAACAGGAUUAGAUACCCGGGUAGUC
rnacentral:rRNA from 1 species